CUUGGGAGAAGCGAAACAGCCCCUCCCCUGCUCCAGGCGUCUUUAAUUUUCACGGGGCAGGGAGCACAGAUGAGGGAGGCUGGGGGAGCCAUCAGCCAGAGGGCUGUGGACACAUUGUGACAUCUGGAUUUCCCCAAAGCUCACGGGUCCUGUGGAGGGAGCGCUCCCCCCUCCCCUCCACCGCCCCGCAGCGCUUCCCACUUCCACAAAAUCUCUGGGAAGAUUUGACACAUUUUUUUUUUAGCAGCAGAGAGCAAUUGGAAUUUCCAGCUUAAUUCCAGAUGUGGUGCUGACUCUGCUGGGGAGUUUGGCUUGAUACAGCAUCCGGGAGGCCCGUUGUUCCAUUGGAUCCCCGCCCCCCAUCCCCAAACCCUGGCACUGGCCUGCACGCUUGUGUGUGUCCCCUCUCCUCUGCUCUGGGUCUUGCGGCUGGGCUUUCCUGCGGGGAGCUGCAGAGCGCCCAUGCGUGUGGUUUUCACACGUGUGGAGAGGGCUGGGUGGCGGAUGGGCAGCCUGGAGCCCAGGUGCCUCUGGGGCAGGGAGUAGGGGCUGUGACAGAACAGGAACCGAGUCACGCGGGGUGUUCUGGGAGCAUGGACAGGGCCGGAGGCUGGAUCUGGAGCAGGCUGGGAGGGGGUGAGGGGGGAACCGAAGGGUCAGUGUGGGCUGAGGUCAUAGCUGGUGCCUGGCCAGGGGCUGCCGGGAAGGCAGGCAGAAAGGAAAGGCCCUUUAGGCAGCCAGCGCACCCUGGUUCCUGGGGCUCAAUCCGCCAGACGAGACGUCAGGACCAGAUGGCUCCUCGGCAGGAGUGAGGGUCCCACUGGUGCCUCAGUGAAACCGCAGGAGGAUCAAGAAUAUCCAAAGGGGGAGUUCCCGUUGUGGCACAGAGGGUUAAGAGCCCAAAUAGUAUCCAUGAGGACACAGGUUCCAUCCCUGCGCCUUGCUCAGCAGGUUAAGGAUCCUGCAUGGCCACAAGCUGCGGUGUAUGCCACAGAGGCAGCUCGGAUCCCACGUUUCUAUGGUUAUGGUGUAGGCCAGCAGCUAUAGCUCUGAUUCAACCAGUAACCUGGGCACGUCCAUAUGCCCCAGGGGCUGUCCUAAAAAAGAAGAGAAAAAAAAAGGAAUGUCAAAAGGAACUGAUAUAUGUAUAUGUGUAAUUAAUUUACUUUGUCGUACACCUGAAAUUAACACAAUUUUGUAAGUCAGCCAUAUUCCAAUAAAAAAUUUAAAAAGACUGUUACCCACUUUGGCCAGCUUGUCUGUGAUUUCUCUAGGUAGUAGACAAAACAGUGGCCCCAAAAGAGGCCCACAUAUCUACUCCCCAGAACCUGUGAACAAAUGUUAACCUCACAGCCAAAAGGACUUGGCAGAUGUGAUCAUGUCAAGGAGCUUGAGAUGAGGAGACUGUCCUGGAUUAUCUGGGAGGGUCCAGGGUAAUCACCAGGGUCCUUCCCAGAGGGAGGCAAGAGGCCAAAGCAAUAGAAAGGCGAUGUGACAGCACGAAGGAGGAAGGGGCCCCAAGCCAAGGGAUGCAGGCAGCUUCUAGAAUCUGGAAAAGGCAAGGAGACCCAUUUCCCCUAGAGCCUCCAAAAGGCACACAGCACUGCCAAUCCCUUGACUUUAGCUUGGUGAGGCUGAUUUUGGACUUGUGGUCCCCAGGACUGUAAAAUAAAUGCGGAUUAUUUUAAACCACUAAGUUCGUGGUGAGCUGUCACAGGAGCGACAGGAAACCAAUACAGCCUCCCAUCCUGAGGUGGGCGCCAUCCUCGACCGCACUCCCUUCGACAAGUGCCUUUUCCACACGACACAGGGUGAGGGGAGUACCCCAUUUGUUCUCCCCAAUGGCCCUGGCUGAACAGCAGCACAGACCACCACAGGAGAGGCUGCUUCCCAUCAGCCAGGGCCUCCAGCUGGUAGCAGAGCUGGGCCCCGUCCAGGGCCCCCCAGACUUCUGGGCCAAGACCUUGCCCCCAUGGCCGCUGCCUCCCUUCAGCUGUGGAUGAACCAGCCACCAGCCUGCUGUUUCUCCACUGCAGCCCUCUACCUUCCCCGCAUUCUCUGGGGCUCUGCUCCUCAUUCCCAACAAGAAGAAGAGCAUUUUCUGUUUCUGCUUUUCAGGACCGCACCUGCACCAUACGGAGGUUCCCAGGCUAGGGGCUGAAUGGGAGCUGCAGCUGCUGGCCUAUAGCACGGUCACAGCAAAGCCAGAUCCGAGCUUCCUCUGUGAUCUAUGCUGCAGCUUGUAGCAACACCGGAUCCUUAACCCAAUGAGCAAGGGCAGGGAUCGAACUCACAUCUUCAUGGAUACUAGUUGGGUUCUUAACUCUCUGAGCCGCAAUGGAAAUGCUGGAAAAGAAACAUUUUCGAGCUGCAAAUGAGGGAACCAGAACACACACACACACAGUUCUGGAAGUACUUGCUUCCUGGGAACUGGAUGUCAACUACACCUGCUGUAAAUGAGGUUUUAACAAACAAAUUCAGGGGCUGUGUUGAUUGAGGGCAGGAGUCAGGCGGCUGGGUCAGGGUGUGAAUGUCAGAUGGCACAGAAGGAGCAGGGGGUCCCUCAUCCUUGUCCUCGAGAAUGAUGAGAUUCCACAGCACACCUUGUCAGUAAUUUUUCGGCUUUCUCUGCACAAGGCCAACCAGAGACACCCAUGCACAAAGCAUACAGACACCCGCAUGCACACAACUAUGCACAAGGACCACAGUAGUGCUGGCGUGUGCAAAGAGAAAAUGAGCAAACACAUGUGAAUAGAUACCACCCAACACACAGGCAGGCAGUCGUGCCCGCGUGCCGACACUGACAUGCCCACACAACAACAUACGUCUACUGUACACACUUGCACACACCCACAUGGGUGCACACAUAGACAGACACACCUGUGCACCAGUAAAGAGCACCUGUGACCUGGACACCUGUGAGCAGGGCGGACUGUCCAGUGCUUUCUGCCGCUCCCUCCCCAUGGCCAUCCUGAGCUCUGCUCUGGAGCCCUCUGCUGGGGAGGCCAGGAACAGGCUGCCAAGCCCUCCUGGGCCCUGGACUGGGGUUCAGAGGGAAGGGAGAUGAGGAAAGAAAGGGGACCAACGGGAGCCAGCUCCUCUGCCCUCGGCAUCCUGCCCCCACUUGGUCCAAAUGACUUUCUGCAGCCUCCAAUCUAGGGCAGAAGGAGAGAUUUCUCCUGCAAGGACUCCUCUUGGGCCCCAGCCUUUCUGCCAGACUCCAGGCACAGCCACCCUUUCCACGGGCACUGCUGGUGUGGCUGCAUAUAGAGGAGGGAGCCCCAGCAUCACACACACAGCCCCCCUCUUCAGGACCAGGCGGCUUUACCCUCCCACAUCCAGGAGCCCAAGCGGGCACCACCCUAUUCCCCUCAUCCAACCUGGGCCAUGUGGCAGUACUGUUGGCACCAGCCUCCUAGCCAACCCACCAGGUCUCUGACUCUGCUUAUUGCAGCUCCCGCUUCAAACCUCCACCUCCUGUACCUCCUCGUAGGAAUCACCCUCCUGCUCUCAACGGCUUUUCCUUUCCAUUUUCUCCUGGGGGAGGGCGAGGAACUGAAGAAGAUCUGGGCUUUGCAAUAAGAUGCAUAAACCUGACUUCAGAUCUCAGCUCAAAGGUGGGAUUUACUCAUCUGCUGUGGGCCUCUUGGGCCGCUCGCCUCACUGCCCUCGGCCUCAGCUUUACCAGGGAGAAUGGAGAUCAUGCUACUUACAUGGCAGGGUGAAAACACUUUCAGUGCUUGGUACCAAAGCUGGUUGAAGGGGUGACCAGCCGGGCAGCUGGCUGAAGGGCACUCUUUACAAAGCACGCAGACAUCACUGGAAAUAUAAGGAGAAGGAGACGAAGAAAAUCACGUCUGGAACUCUUUUAAGGGCAGUCGGAUGUUCUGCUUUAAUAAAUUACUUGCAACAGGGUGGCUUACGGGUGGGAGGACCCCAAAAGAACAGGCCGGCAUAACAAUAGUUGGUCUCUAAGCUGUUCCCUAAGGAGGGUGGAGCAAGGUCUCUACAGAGUUUUUGUCUGUCUAAUUGCAGCAUGUGAGUUUGGGGUCAGAGCUGAAUUGCUCAGAGGAGAUGGAGUGUUGCCCGGAGGGAUGAGGGAUGCUGUCCCCUGCCCACCACACACGCCCCCCCCUUUCCCCAAGCAGAGACCAGUUCCACUACAUUAAACAUGAACUGAUAAGAGUUUCCAUCAUGGUUCAGCAGAAACGAAUCUGACUUGUAUCUAUGAGGACGCAGGUUCGAUCCCUGGACUCGCUCAUUGGGUUAAGGAUCUGGCGUUGCCGUGAGCUAUGGUUUAGGUUACGGAUGCAGCUCGGAUCCCCAGUUGCUGUGGUGUAGGCUGGCAGCUACACCUCUGAUUCGACUCCUAGCCUGGGAACCUCCACAUGCUGCUGGUGUGGCCUGAAAAAGACAUAACUAACUAACUAACUAACUAAAUGAAUAAAUUUAAAAGAUAAAGAUGCGCUGAUAGUUCGAUGGGACAUAAAAUGAUUAGCUGGCCUGGGGGACCCACUCGCUUCCCCACUGGGCCCUUCCUGACGCAUGGAAGGUUCUUAAUAAAUGUUAGUUGGAUCUUUCUCUCCAGUUCUAAGACUUGUCCCCAGGCCCCUCCACUCAGCCCAGCCCUUGUUGUAUCCUCUCUGCCUGGUCCUUGGGUCUAAAGCAUCACCACACCCCUUCCCCCCAACCUUAGCAUGCUGGUCCAGCCCAUCCUGCAAGCCUCAAGACUUUUCCAUUUCUGGGGAAACGAGAAAGCUCUUACACAUCAUCCUGUUUAAAAUGACACCAAGCAGCCACCAUCUCUCCCCGGAAAGCUUCUCCUUACCUUAAAUGUCUACAAUCAGGCAGUCCCAGCUUACCAAUGAGUGAUAUUGCAAACCUUGGUUUCUGGGAAGUGGAUUGGGGUUCCAGACAAUAAGCCAAUAGAAAAUCAAGGACUCAGGGUUAUGAAUGGGGCUCAGUUUUCCAGGUUGAGCCACAAAUGCUCGUUUAACGCAUCACAAAGCUGGGCUGCUACACACCCACGUGGGGAAAAAAGAAAACCCUAAUGUUGCAAGACCUGUAGGUUGAAAUGGAAAAAAAAACAAAAACAAAAAAACACAGAUCCAGGAAAGUCUGUUCAUUUUUUCUUGAAAGCUGGUGCUUAAGGGAAAGCAGGUUUCUUAACAGGAGUGUGAAGAGAUGGCAGGGGGAUGAUCUAAAGGAAACUUCCAGGUGCUUUCAAGGGCUUCAGAGGCUGAAAGCUUUUGUUCUUCAAUAUUCUAAUGAAUCUUUCUGACGUUCAGUCUGCCUUUUUCUUGGCACAGGGGCAGUCCUGGCUGCACCCUGAUACUCAGUUAGCCAGGAUUAUUUGGGUUGAAAGAAUAAACUAAGGAGGAGUUCCCGUCAUAGCGCAGUGGUUAAUGAAUCCAACUAGGAACCAUGAGGUUUCGGGUUCGAUCCCUGGCCUUGCUCAGUGGGUUGGGGACCCAGCGUUGCAGACUUGGCUCGGAUCCCAUGUUGCUGUGGCACUGGCAUAGGCUGGUGGCUACAGCUCCGAUUAGAUCCCUAGCCUGGGAACCUCCAUAUGCCGUGGGAGCGGCCCUAGAAAAGGCAAAAAGACGAAAAAAAAAAAAAAGAAUAAACUAAGGAAAGGAACUCUGGAGGUAACCAGGGUAGGGUUGUUUUAAAGGAGGUGAAAGGAGAUUCAAGGGUGUCAUUUAGAUUUUAAAGAUGGCUUGAGGAGGGAGUUCCCCUGUGGCACAGUGGGUUAAUGAUCUGGCUUGUCUCUGUUGCAGUGCUGUUUUGAUCUCUGGCGGGGCACAGUGGGUUAAAGAUCUAGCAUUGCCACAGCUGCCAUGUAGGUUGCAGCUUCGGCUCAGAUUCCAUCCCUGGCCUGAGAACUUCCACAUACCGUGGGUGUCCCUGAAAAAGAAAGGGAAAAAAAAGAUGGCUGGAGGAAGACUGAGCCCAACUGAACUGAUUGUGGUAAAAAACAAAGAACAAAAAGAGAGAGAAAAGGGACAUUAUGGUACUCCGUGAUCCCAUCAGCCCAAUCCAACUGCAAAAGAAACAAAAGGUUGGGAGCUGGGCAGUUCCAAGGCUGGCCGCUAGGUGACACCAGAGGCCCAGGGCAGCUUGGUUGCAGCUGUGUCCUGUAGAGGGGGUCUUGGGAGGCUCCAGGGGAGUGGGGGAGUCACAGGUUUGGAAGCCCAGGACAGAACAUUCUCAGGUUCCAUUGUUCUGACUGGUUGGAGAGAGAUGGUUCAUGCACCUAGCCUUCCUUCUCC
rnacentral:lncRNA from 1 species